CAAUCACCAAUAAAAGCUCAGAAUAAAGUUAAAAAACAUGGUUUAAAGGCUGAUUAGCGAUGGCUGGUUCAUGCCUUAACAGGUGGUCUCAAGAAAAAAACCUCAAAGUUCCAUAACUGAUACAGUCCGUCUUGAAGAACAAACAAGCAAAAUCCUAUUUUUUCAUUUCUCUAGUUCCACUGUACGCUCUGAUUCUCUUGGUUAACAGGCACAUUUACAAGGAUUUGGAGAUGGAUACCACUAAGAUGGCAAGAUUCCAGAGUGUUUCAACAAUGAGCACAAAGGCUGAACUAAAUCAGUGAUCAAGCUGAUACCAGCUCACUUUGAAAUGGGUUGAGAUCAAGACAGAUUCAAGACUGGAAAGAACGAGUAACACGUGAAUACACGAUUUUGAAGCUAAGCCCUCAUCUUUGUCAGUACACAGCAGAACGCCCUUUUGU